rnacentral:misc_RNA from 1 species
GUAAGUUAUUGCCAGGGUUUUUUUUAUAUUUUAAGUCUUGAUUUUAUUUUUAUAUUUAAAAUUUUUAUUUUUUAGGAUGUUUUGUUCAAAUAAUAUAAAAAGUGAAAUAAGUAUUGACAUGAAUUAAACAAAGAUAUAUAUUAUUUUAUGUUGUAUAAACAAAUUGGCAAAAUAGAGAUGGAAGAUAAAAAUAUGGUCAAAGUAAUAAGAGUC